GAUUAAAAAUAAAGUCAGGGUGCUAGAUUGCCUUAAAUGGGAGGUUUUCAUCAUACAAACAUUGAACAAUGAGAUAAACAAACAAUGCACUUUACAAACUACGUUCAUGUACCCAAACAGGAACUUGUCCAGACUUAGAACACAGAAUAGUAGUGACACUUCCAAAUACACAGGUCUUUGGAGUUUGACGAUUUUAUAAACUUUAACAGAGCUUAGAAAACAAGAGUUUCCUUAAAAACCAAAAGUUAGAAAGAUAAUAAACAGACACCCAUGACAUUGUUACCCAGUCCAACACCCUAUCUUUCCCUGCUCCCCUUAGAGGAAAUUAUAAUCAUGAGCUUCUGUACCAAUUUCCAAAAUUUCAACCCUUAUGUGCUGGACAGAUAGCACGGUUGGCUAGUUCUGGUUCUUGCAUUUCUCCACAGCCCUUGGGGCUAGGCCAAUGGCAUCAGAGCUCUUCAUGAUCCUCAGCCUCUUGCACGUUUCAACAAACAUCUCCCAUGGAACAUCACCAACAAGCAUCCAGUCACCAUCUUUAUCCUCGUAGGUAAGAACAUAUUCUGAGCCAUGAAGAAGAUCCUUCAGCUUGGUCUCACUUAGCACCUCUCUCCCCAGAGCUCCAUGAGAUCCAUAUUGACCUGACAUCAUAAUGGAAUAGCGGUAACUUGAUCCAUGAAAACUAGAACAAUACCCAUUAAAUAAAUAUCAGUUCAUAAAGUAAUAUUUAAUGAUGAUUUCCACAAAACAAGACCUCCAUAUCAAAUUGAAAUUUUAAUUUAUCUCACCAAUGGUAAAGCAGCCGAACAUCUUCUCGAGGGCAGAAGAUAGUUCCUGAUAUGCAGAGUAGUUUCUCAAGUCUACUUUCCUUAAAUAAGGGGCACCAUCCAUGCUAACCUUGACAAACAAAGCACCAGACCCAGCUUUUCCAUCCACUUCUUCAGUGUUCUUUGAUGUGGUAGCAAGAGAGUUCUUCCUAAAUGAUCUGAUGGGUGGCCAACCCACAACCUGUGCCUUGGUAGCAGGGGCACUACUGUUGUUGUUUGCAGAAGUAUUGUGAUUCGUUCUGGUAUCAUUUGUUCCAUAAGGCCUCUCCUGUGGUGCCUUUGAGGCAACUAUGUCUUUCACUUUAGCUGCCUGAGGCCCAAAUUUCUCAAGCGCAGAACCAGGUUUCAAUCCCAUGUUUGGAGCGGGCUUAGGUGACAGCAUGACAUUAACCUCUGAAUUUGAAAGAAAUUUACCCUCUAAGAACCCAUCCAUAGCAUCAGAGAACCCUCUUUUGUUACGCAAAACAACAUUUUUCUGCGCUGAAGAGCAGUGACCAUCAUUAGAGGGGUGCAAGGGAAAGAAGGGCUUCUCAUCAAGUUGUGCAGAGCUCAACAGGCAAAGCUCUGAAUUCCUUUCAGGAGAUUGGGAACCUGGAAGCCCAAGUCGCAAUUCUGUAGCCUUCAGAUUCACACGAGUCUUGCUCUCAUCAGAUGCAGCAGGAACUACUGAACUGUCUACAGAUGAACAAUCUGACAAUCCCAUAUAGUUUCGCUCUUUCAAUUCAGAGCUAUUCGGGCAUAUGCUUUCUGCAGAGAUGGAUGAAGCCAGCAGAGUAACAUUGCUCUUACACUCCUCCUCCACAACACCAAGUAGUGGUGGAGACAUCAGAAGUAAGAAGAAAAACACUCAGAAUUCUCUGUAACCUGUUAAGCAAAUUGCAUGCUAUGUUCCUUUUUUAGAAAAUACAACCAUUCGAAUUCAAAGAAGUUGAUGAUAGAUACAAAAUCAUUGAAUCUUUAAAUAAAGACAAACAAGUAAAUAGCAGUACAUUCAAUGAACAGCUGGCUACCCUUGUGAAGCAAUCAACUCAAGUCACACAAAGUUGAUUGAACUAUUCUAAUCAAACUUCCUUUAGAUCACAAAUUACUGUGUUGAAGUACCAUGCUAAAAGAAGUAAGCAAAAACUAGACGCAAAAAACUGCAAAUAUUACCAGAUCUAAGUACUAAGAGUUAUUAAAGGACUUGCCAAGAUCACACGCCGCAAUAAGCUUAUAGAUAAAUAAAUAGCAAUAGGAGCUAUUCUUUUAAAAAAAAAUAUGCAAAUUUUCUCAAAAAUAAAAAAUAAAAAAGUUCUAAAUAUCGGUUUAUUAUCAAAUGCUGAUCAACAAUCCAACAUAAUCUAAAUUUGAAAUGCAUGAAUCACCUGCAUAAAUAAAAAUGGCAGAAGUCAAGCUGCGUAACUAUUCAGAGCGGAAAGAUCUAAAUUCCUUUUUAGAGCUAAUAAAAAAUCUGUUCGCCAAAUUGAAAGAGUAGAAAGUAAAAAUCCAGAGCAGGGCAAAACUUGAAGUAAUUGCAGCCACUAAUGCUAAUUGCAUGUCCAAAAAAAAAAGUGCAAAACCGCCUGAGAAAAUGUUUAAAAAGUUUGGAAGAAAAAGGCUAAAAAUUAUGCGAAUAUGGAAGGUUUGUUCGGGCACUGAGAAAGGAAGGGAAAAUAUAACUAACUUUUUUAAGUCAUUCACAAGAAUCUCCUCUCAACUGAGCUUAAAAAGUCCGCUGGGACAUUUCAUUGUACGGAUACCAAAACCAAAACUCACAUAAACAAAAAGAUUUCAACAUUUUCUGUUUGAGCUUUCAUUUUCCUCAGUAUUCUCGAGAAACAAACAGAAGCUUAACAACAAAGACAACAUAGAACAUGAAUCAUAAAAAUAAUAGUGAGAAAUCACUGGAGAGAAGAAAAUAUUCUGAAAGAAACAAAUUAAGU
rnacentral:misc_RNA from 1 species